CUGGCAGAAAGUCUGUGGUAAAGUUUGUGGUAACUGCAAACAGAGGAUGAUCCCAUCACACCAACCAUCGGACCUCCACACAGUGUUACGGCUGGCCAGAGGAACUAUCAUGCUCUUGGUGUACCACUUGGCUUAUUUGGCCUUGUGUGCAUUGUGCUGUUGUGUUGUGCUGUCUUUGCAGUGAGACAGAAGAAAAUUAUAGGAAAAUGCUUCUCCAGAGGAAAAAAUGGGGACAGCGGUGUGGUCUAAUGUCGGGCUUUGAUCCCAUUCACCUCAAGUUUCAUCAGAACCCUGCAGAUGGGGUCUUCCUGUGAGCUCAUCACGAGUCACAUCCAUCCAGAUCUUCAGCUGUAUUUAAGCCCAUUGUUGUCUGUCAUUAAAGACAGUUUUUACCUG